UCCGGUUUAACACCGGCAGUCUCCUUAGAGUGCCCAACUGAAUGGUGGCAACUAAGGACAAGGGUUGCGCUCGUUAAGGGACUUAACCCGACAUCUCACGAUACGAGCUGACGACAGCCAUGCAGCACCUGUACACCCGGUCUCCGAAGAGAAGGCCCUAUCUCUAGGACUGUCCGGGGAUUUCAAGCCCAGGUAAGGUUCUUCGCGUUGCAUCGAAUUGUAAACCACAUGCUCCACCGCUUGUGCGGGCCCCCGUCAAUUCCUUUGAGUUUUAAUCUUGCGACCGUACUUCCCAGGCGGGGUACUUAAUGCGUUAGCUUCGGCACUGCAGGGGUCAACACCCGCAACACCUAGUACCCAUCGUUUACGGCGUGGACUAC
rnacentral:misc_RNA from 1 species